rnacentral:rRNA from 1 species
GAUGAACGCUGGCGGCGUGCCUAAUACAUGCAAGUCGAGCGAAUGGAUUGAGAGCUUGCUCUCAAGAAGUUAGCGGCGGACGGGUGAGUAACACGUGGGUAACCUGCCCAUAAGACUGGGAUAACUCCGGGAAACCGGGGCUAAUACCGGAUAACAUUUUGAACCGCAUGGUUCGAAAUUGAAAGGCGGCUUCGGCUGUCACUUAUGGAUGGACCCGCGUCGCAUUAGCUAGUUGGUGAGGUAACGGCUCACCAAGGCAACGAUGCGUAGCCGACCUGAGAGGGUGAUCGGCCACACUGGGACUGAGACACGGCCCAGACUCCUACGGGAGGCAGCAGUAGGGAAUCUUCCGCAAUGGACGAAAGUCUGACGGAGCAACGCCGCGUGAGUGAUGAAGGCUUUCGGGUCGUAAAACUCUGUUGUUAGGGAAGAACAGGUGCUAGUUGAAUAAGCUGGCACCUUGACGGUACCUAACCAGAAAGCCACGGCUAACUACGUGCCAGCCGCCGCAGUAAAAC